UUAACUCCGAUUUGUAUGGAGUUGGAGUGUUUGCCUACGUUUGCCGCUAGGGGCGCUGUUCCAAUUACGUACAAAUUUAAGUUA
rnacentral:pre_miRNA from 1 species